UAAAAGUCCUGUCCCCUUACGAUCCCCGAAGUUAAGCAGUAUCGAGCCUGGUCUGUACCUAGAUGGGUGAUCGCUUGGGAAUACCAAGUGCUGA